rnacentral:rRNA from 1 species
AGAGUUUGAUCAUGGCUCAGGAUGAACGCUAGCUACAGGCUUAACACAUGCAAGUCGAGGGGCAGCAUGAACUUAGCUUGCUAAGUUUGAUGGCGACCGGCGCACGGGUGAGUAACACGUAUCCAACCUUCCGUUUACUCAGGGAUAGCCUUUCGAAAGAAAGAUUAAUACCUGAUAGUAUGGUGAGAUUGCAUGAUAACACCAUUAAAGAUUUAUUGGUAAACGAUGGGGAUGCGUUCCAUUAGGUAGUAGGCGGGGUAACGGCCCACCUAGCCUGCGAUGGAUAGGGGUUCUGAGAGGAAGGUCCCCCACAUUGGAACUGAGACACGGUCCAAACUCCUACGGGGAGGCAGCAGUGAGGAAUAUUGGUCAAUGAGCGAGAGCCUGAACCAGCCAAGUAGCGUGAAGGAUGAAGGUCCUACGGAUUGUAACUUCUUUUAUACGGGAAUAAAGUUUCCUACGUGUAGGAUUUUGUAUGUACCGUAUGAAUAAGCAUCGGCUAACUCCGUG